UUGCGCUAAGCGGGGGACUGGCGGUACCCUGAACCCACAAUCCGCCAUAGUGGGGCUGAAUUCCCGCCCGAGGAUUCGUCGCUUGGCGUCUGACCCACGUAAGCGGUGAUGAAGGUUGGGUCCCGCGCAAGGAGACAGCUGCUGAACCCCGUCAGGCCCGGAAGGGAGCAGCGGUAGGCAGCACGUCAACUGUGCCGCGGAUCACCUGACCGGAGCUGGCUGCGAGGGUAACGGUCGGGCGGCGUCUUCGACGACCGGGUGCGCAA
rnacentral:SRP_RNA from 1 species